GGGGCGGCGGGGCGGUCCGCCGUUUCGGUGCUGCACUGCCCGCGUCGCCCCUUUACCUUCCCGUGCGAGCCGGCGUGCCCUUAACUGGGCGCGUCGGGGAGCCGGGACGUUUACCUUGAAAAAAUUAGAGUGUUCAAAGCAGGCGUGCGCCUGAAUAGAUUAGCAUGGAAUAAUAAAAUAGGACGGCAUGGUUCUAUUUUGUUGGUUUCUAGGAUCACCGUA
rnacentral:rRNA from 1 species